rnacentral:lncRNA from 1 species
UGCUGCAGCUAUCUCGGGCGUCGCGCUUCAAGUGCUUUCUCUCGUGUUGUUCAGUGCUUUGUGUAUUUCAGAAGCAAAAAGUUAUAUGCCUGACUCUAGAAUAAUAAAUAUGCACGAUGAUCCAGGAGGCUACUAUUUCUGCUGCUGAGUGUUUACUAGGCGAUACGGCCUCUUCAAAGCCGCCGUUUCAUGUGUGUCGAUUGUGAUCUCGAAAGCUGGAGGAAGCAAGGCACGAAUAGGCGCUGAUGUGGCAAGAACCAAGGACGCCCAUUUAUUGCAAAAUGCGGUGUAGAAUCUUUCAUCUCCACUCGGCGGUAAGCGCCCCUCUUUUCCAGCUUCCGAUGGUAGGGUUGAGGAACUCGACAGGUGUGGAAACGACAAUGCAGGAAGACAGGUCGGUUUUGUUACUCGGUCUCACGGGACAUGGCAAACCGCAGUUCACGUAGCACUUCAUAGGUGGCAGUUCUCACUCCGGUCGGUUCCUAACGACAGGAUAACAGCAAAGUCGUCGGAAAGCGUCACACACUGCCAGGAGACGGAUCCCUGCAACGAGUGGCCACAGAAUGUUACCGGAAAAGCCGUUAAAAAAAGGUUCCUCCUGCCUCUAGUUGUCCCCUAUUUUUCCACCCUAAAUCCAUUCUAGGAAAUUCUGGAGACCUGGCAAUAUUCCCCUCAAGUGUUCAGGGUCCUCUGAAAAAAGGCACACACCAAGCAACUACCCUGAAAGCUUGGGCAGGUUUAAGCACUUGCCGACUUCGUCUCUCCUGUCGAUUGAUAGAUAUCCUUCCCACCUGUUGGGGAGGGCACAACAAAGUGGACGCUGCAUCAUGUGAAACGGUAUCUCCAAGCAGACCAGGAAUGUCACUCCAGAGGCGGACUACUACAACAUAUGGUCGAGAAAGAGUCACUGAACAACUGCAGCACUGAGAUCAGUGCACCUCUUCUGCGUCAUUCGGCCUACAACAGGAUGACCUGAGUCAGCAAAGUUAGUGAGAAAACCGUUUUAGGGAGGGGCACGCCACGUAUACUUACUGCUUGCUUGCAAGUAGGCGCAGCAUUCGUGCCGGUUAAGGGUUUCUCUAGCCUCCUCCUUCGGGGAACAGCCCCACUCUUGCAAAUGGAAUCGCGAAUCCCGAGUUGGAGACCUGCAAAGUUGCCACCUCUGUCACAGAGCUUCCUGGAUUUCGAAGAAAUGCCAAGUCGCGUUCUAAACUAGCUGCUGGUGCACUUUUCUAUCUGCUUCAAGCUGCAGGAAGGAGACGAAAAUAUGCUCCGCCAAAUCCGAAGAAAUAUGGUUUGCUCUUCAGAGAGGCGAAUGGUGAUGUCGAUGUACAAUCUUGUUUGAGCUUGAGUCCAACCAGACAUGGCUGGCAAGACACAACGGAGACGAUAUCCCGUCAGUAUGUCUUGCAUUGCGCAGGAGGCGGCCAAUGACCUGUGUUGGCGGCUAUGUCACGUUUUUUAACAUUCGCAAACACGGAAUGGAGAAACUGGCCCGUAUCUGUCGGCCACGAAUGGGUUUUUACAUAGCGGUGCCACCUGGGGUCGCUGGGGCCCCGCUGCUACCAGCAUUUUCGCCGUCGCUUCCGUACAGGCAAAGGCAGACACAAACUGGUGUGCUACACUCAAACCGUACAUGGGAAAAUGAAGGAUGAUGGUUGUGUUGCUGAUCUCUCGCUGCCGGUGGCUGUCCUUGAUGUGUCUGAU